CAGGGGAAUAGCCCAGGGAAACUUGGAUUAAUGCCCCAUGGUAUCGUUUUAUCGCAUGAUAUUACGAUUAAAGACUGAUCGGACAGGGAUGGCCAUGCGUACCAUUAGUUAGUUGGUGAGGUAACGGCUUACCAAGGCAGCGAUGGUUAGGGGCCCUGAGAGGGGGAUCCCCCACACUGGUACUGGAGACACGGACCAGACUCCUACGGGAGGCAGCAGUGAGGAAUAUUGGACAAUGGGCGGGAGCCUGAUCCAGCCAUGCCGCGUGCAGGAUGACGGCCCUAUGGGUUGUAAACUGCUUUUAUACGGGAAGAAACGCACCUACGUGUAGGUGUCUGACGGUACCGUAAGAAUAAGGACCGGCUAACUCCGUGCCAGCAGCCGCGGUAAUACGGAGGGUCCGAGCGUUAUCCGGAAUCAUUGGGUUUAAAGGGUCCGUAGGCGGGCCUGUAAGUCAGGGGUGAAAGUUUGUGGCUCAACCAUAAAAUUGCCUUUGAUACUGCAGGUCUUGAGUCAUGGUGGGGUUGCCGGAACAUGUGGUGUAGCGGUGAAAUGCAUAGAUAUCACAUAGAACACCGAUCGCGAAGGCAGGUGACCAACCAUGUACUGACGCUGAUGGACGAAAGCGUGGGUAGCGAACGGGAUUAGAUACCCCGGUAGUCCACGCCGUAAACGAUGGAUACUAGCUGUGGGGACUUCGGUCUCCGUGGCCAAGCGAAAGUGAUAAGUAUCCCACCUGGGGAGUACGUUCGCAAGAAUGAAACUCAAAGGAAUUGACGGGGGCCCGCACAAGCGGUGGAGCAUGUGGUUUAAUUCGAUGAUACGCGAGGAACCUUACCAGGGCUUAAAUGCAGGCUGCAUGGGGUGGAGACACCCCUUUCUUCGGACUGCCUGCAAGGUGCUGCAUGGUUGUCGUCAGCUCGUGCCGUGAGGUGUCAGGUUAAGUCCUAUAACGAGCGCAACCCCUACCGUUAGUUGCCAGCAUGUAAAGAUGGGGACUCUAACGGGACUGCCGGUGCAAACCGUGAGGAAGGUGGGGACGACGUCAAAUCAUCACGGCCCUUACGUCCUGGGCUACACACGUGCUACAAUGGCCGGUACAGAGGGAAGCCACCCCGCAAGGGGGCGCGGAUCUACAAAACCGGUCACAGUUCGGAUCGGGGUCUGCAACUCGACCCCGUGAAGCUGGAAUCGCUAGUAAUCGGAUAUCAGCCAUGAUCCGGUGAAUACGUUCCCGGGCCUUGUACACACCGCCCGUCAAGCCAUGGAAGCCGGGAGUGCCUGAAGU
rnacentral:rRNA from 1 species